GCAGGAAGCGUCCCCACCAGCCGAGCACGUCCUCAGCACGUCCUCCUCCUUCCAGCCAGCGCGUGUUCAAGCCGGAGUCAACACGAUCAUCUCUCCUAGACUGGAACCCCAAAUUGUGCAAGACCCAGCUGUCUUUCCGGGCAGCUCCUAGCUCAUGAGCCCACGUGCCCCUGUGUCCUCGUUGGCCUGUGACCCACCCGCUCCUGGGUUCAAUAACAGCGCCCCCUGCCGGCCCCUGCACAGUCCUGGACGCGGGAACAGCAUCCCAGAGCUGAGGCGGCCUGGAGGAAACCGCUCUCCUUACUGGGGUGCCAGGAGGGUUCCUGGAGCAGAUGGCAUUUUACCCAGGGCCUGAGGGAUGAGCUGACGGCGGCCUGGGGCAGCAGGGAUCACUGGAGGCCAGGGGCUCCACACACCCCAUUUCUCAUGAGCUCUGCAAGGCCUGGUGAUGCCCGGCAGCGACACCCACACGUGUGCAGGUCGGCUGGACUGAACGGUGAACACAGCCUCAGCGUCUGCCAUAGCCAGUAAGGGCGGGGACCUGCAGCCUUCUGAUUUUAAGAUUGUACUUUUUUUAAGCACCAAAGGAGGCAAGAAAAGCUUCA